rnacentral:rRNA from 1 species
AUUGAACGCUGGCGGCAGGCCUAACACAUGCAAGUCGAACGGUAACAGGAAGAAGCUUGCUUCUUUGCUGACGAGUGGCGGACGGGUGAGUAAUGUCUGGGAAACUGCCUGAUGGAGGGGGAUAACUACUGGAAACGGUAGCUAAUACCGCAUAACGUCGCAAGACCAAGAGGGGGAACUUCGGGCCUCUUGCCAUCGGAUGUUCCCAGAUGGGAUUAGCUAGUAGGUGGGGUAACGGCUCACCUAGGCGACGAUCCCUAGCUGGUCUGAGAGGAUGACCAGCCACACUGGAACUGAGACACGGUCCAGACUCCUACGGGAGGCAGCAGUGGGGAAUAUUGCACAAUGGGCGCAAGCCUGAUGCAGCCAUGCCGCGUGUAUGAAGAAGGCCUUCGGGUUGUAAAGUACUUUCAGCGGGGAGGAAGGGAGUAAAGUUAAUACCUUUGCUCAUUGACGUUACCCGCAGAAGAAGCACCGGCUAACUCCGUG